AUGGACAAGAUCCUGACAGCAACGUUUUUACUCCUAGGCCUUCACCUAGCUGGGGUGAAUGGCCAGCAGCAGGAGAAACGUGACCAGCAGCAGGUGAGACAAAGUCCCCAAUCUCUGACAGUCUGGGAAGGAGAGACCGCAAUUCUGAACUGCAGUUAUGAGGACAGCACUUUUAACUACUUCCCAUGGUACCAGCAGUUCCCUGGGGAAGGCCCUGCACUCCUGAUAUCCAUACGUUCAGUGUCCGAUAAAAAGGAAGAUGGACGAUUCACAAUCUUCUUCAAUAAAAGGGAGAAAAAGCUCUCCUUGCACAUCACAGACUCUCAGCCUGGAGACUCAGCUACCUACUUCUGUGCAGCAAGUG